CCGGAUUGGAACCAAGAUCAAGUCCUAGGCAAGCAGACCUAAUUUUAACAGCCGAUACGGUAACAAUGAAAAUGGCUCCCUCUUUAGUGAGAUUAUACGAGCAAAUGCCUGAACCAAAAUACGUCAUUGCUAUGGGCGCCUGUACUAUUACAGGGGGAAUGUUCAGUACGGAUUCCUAUAGUACUGUUCGGGGAGUUGAUAAGUUAAUUCCUGUGGAUGUCUACUUCCCGGGCUGCCCACCUAAACCGUAGGCAGUUAUAGAUGCCCUAACAAAACUUCGUAAGAAGAUAUCGCGAGAAAUAGUUGAGGAUCGAACUCUAUCUCAAAAUAAAAAUAGAUGUUUUACUACCAGUCACAAGCUUUAUGUUAGGCGCAGUACUCAUAUAGGAACUUAUGAG